GUUAUAUUAUAUUAUUUUACAUUUUAUGGAUGCGAUAUGACUUUCAGUGUGACUAAAACAUGUCAUGAAAAUGAAAACAUUUUAAAUAAAACAUUGAAUAUGUAAAUCCAAGGGUUAG